rnacentral:rRNA from 1 species
UGCCUUCCGAGUUCCCUGGAACGGGACGCCAUAAAGGGGGAAAGCCCCGUCUGGCCGGACACCAAGUCAGUGUAAAGCUCCUUCGACGAGUCGAGUAGUUUGGGAAUGCUGUUCUAAAUGGGAGGUAUAUGUCUUCUAAAGCUAAAUACCGGCCAGAGACCGAUAGCUGACAAGUAGAGUGAUCGGAAGAUGAAAAGCACUUUGAAAAGAGGGUUAAACAGUACGUGAAAUUGUUGAAAGGAAAGCACUUAUGACCAGACUUGGGCCCGGUGAAUCAUCCAGCGUUCUCGCUG